rnacentral:rRNA from 1 species
AGGAAUCUGCCUGGUAGUGGGGGAUAACGUCCGGAAACGGACGCUAAUACCGCAUACGUCCUACGGGAGAAAGCAGGGGACCUUCGGGCCUUGCGCUAUCAGAUGAGCCUAGGUCGGAUUAGCUAGUUGGUGGGGUAAUGGCUCACCAAGGCGACGAUCCGUAACUGGUCUGAGAGGAUGAUCAGUCACACUGGAACUGAGACACGGUCCAGACUCCUACGGGAGGCAGCAGUGGGGAAUAUUGGACAAUGGGCGAAAGCCUGAUCCAGCCAUGCCGCGUGUGUGAAGAAGGUCUUCGGAUUGUAAAGCACUUUAAGUUGGGAGGAAGGGCAGUAAAUUAAUACUUUGCUGUUUUGACGUUACCGACAGAAUAAGCACCGGCUAACUCUGUGCCAGCAGCCGCGGUAAUACAGAGGGUGCAAGCGUUAAUCGGAAUUACUGGGCGUAAAGCGCGCGUA